rnacentral:rRNA from 1 species
CCCUUAGAUGUUCGGGGCCGCACGCGCGCUACACUGAAGGGAUCAGCGUGUGUCUCGCCUGGCCUGGGAAGGCCGGGUAACCCGUUGAACCUCCUUCGUGCUAGGGAUUGGGGCUUGUAAUUCUUGCCCAUGAACGAGGAAUUCCCAGUAAGCGCGAGUCAUCAGCUCGCGUUGAUUACGUCCCUGCCCUUUGUACACACCGCCCGUCGCUACUACCGAUUGAACGGUUUAGUGAGGGCCUCGGAUUGGUCUCGGCCCGCUCUUUACCGGGCGGCGCCGUUGGUCGAGAAGACGCUCGAACUUGAUCGUUUAGAGGAAGUAAAAGUCGUAACA